rnacentral:rRNA from 1 species
UGGGGAAUAUUGGACAAUGGGGGCAACCCUGAUCCAGCCAUGCCGCGUGAGUGAUGAAGGCCUUCGGGUUGUAAAGCUCUUUUGGCGGGGACGAUGAUGACGGUACCCGCAGAAUAAGCCCCGGCUAACUUCGUGCCAGCAGCCGCGGUAAUACGUAGGGUGCGAGCGUUAAUCGGAAUUACUGGGCGUAAAGUGUGCGCAGGCGGCAGAGCAAGUCGAGUGUGAAAGCCCCGGGCUUAACUUGGGAAUUGCGCUCGAAACUACUUUGCUGGAGUGUGGCAGAGGAAGGUGGAAUUCCACGUGUAGCGGUGAAACGCGUAGAGAUGUGGAGGAACACCAAUGGCGAAGGCAGCCUUCUGGGCCAACACUGACGCUCAUGCACGAAAGCGUGGGGAGCAAAC